UUGAGAUUACUUAUCUGUGAACUAUUUGUGGCCAUCUCCUCACAGGCAUUGUCCCACAAAUGGAAGCGUUAGACCUAUUUUUCACUGUUUUAAAGUUAGAGUUUAGCACCUUUUUUUUCAUUCUUUUGAAGUUGUACAGAUUAGCACGAUAUGAGGCUCGGGCUCUUCCAUACAAGUAUUUAAAACAUUGGAUUUUUAAUGUAUCUUGUGUGCUUGAGUACACCAGCGAAGUAAAUCAAAGAACUAGCACCCCUAGCUUCUGAAAUCUGUAACUUUAAGCUAUCCCAUGUAUUUCUGUGCUUUGUAGCUCCAGGCAUGCAAAUUUGCUUUAUGGUUCUAUGCGUAACCAAAAGCAGAUUUUGAGAAUUUGGGCUCUGAAUUUACUGGUGUGUGAACAAAUUAGCAUUGAUAUGAUGCCUACUUUCCAGGUUCCCUUGCACGUUCAGUGUAAAUCAAUAAUGCUGCUGCUUAUCUUAUAGUAUGCUGAUAGUAAUUAUUACCAAUUUAGUGGUGCAUUUAGCGGGUCUUAGUUUUAUCUUACCAAGUAUAAAGUCACAUUCUGUGUAUUUAGCAUAGCAAUUCCAACGAAUGAUAGGAUCCUGAUUUGUUUCUACUUGAUGAGUCCGAAAAUCAUGUCGAUUUCGACACCUGAUCUGUUCCUUCUUGCCUCCUUGGUGUAGAUUCCAGCAUUUAGUUGAUAGCGGAUGCUCGCAUAAUUUAUCCACCUUUCGCUAUCUCUUUAGUGUGACUCUUUCCUUGUUUAUCUUAUAUAAGUUGUCUUUUAGAAUCCUACGUUUUCUUGGAGCUGCUCUUUUGCAAUGCUAUUUGUGCAUAUAUCGUCGUUGAAAUCAGCAAUCUGCAUGUACUCAGUACUUCCAUCAGUUGUUUCACAAUUGAAAAUCCUCCCUAUAACCAUGCAAUGCAUCUGGUUCUUGAAUAUUCAGGGCAUAUCCACAAUAUGUGCUCUAUUUCCUUUCCAUGUUUCUAUUCCCAAUAUAUCUCCUUCAAACUCUGUUGCAAAAUCUUUACACUUUCCUGGUUGCUUAAUUGUAGUAGUUGCAUUCUAUAACACAAGUUCUGUCACGUUAGUUAGAGUUUUGUACUAUCACAAUCUUAGACUACUUUUGCUGGCAAUUUUUGUUUAUUAUAGUUACCACGAACCAUAAGAAGCUGGAGCUUACUGAUAUUGGACUUGCAGGAAAGGAAACACUGAUAUGAUUGAUGACCAGAGUGGGAUAUCCCGAUGGAUUCACUCUUUUCUGGAAUGGCUACAACAUUACAAAAUUAUGAACUGAAUUGAGAAAAAGGGUAUACAAGUAACAUGUUGGCUAUCAUAUUACAUGUUGCUUUCCAUAUCCUGCAGCUUCCUUUUGUUUUAAAGUGCACAUUCUCAAAUUUAUAUUCAUUUUCAACGAACCCACCAUGGAAAAGAUAUUUAUUGUGGCUCGUUCAGAUAUGUAGAUAACAUUAGCUAAUUGCAUGCUUACAUCAGCAUGCUUAUGGACAGCUUGCUUUUUUUUGAGUGAAAGAGCGUUUAUAUUAGCUGGGGAAACCUGAGAAAUUAUGUUCAGUUACAAGCUCCCUUUUGACUAGGAAAGAGACACCAGAAGACCUGGCAUGCUUUGCAAGAGCAUCAUCACAUAUAUUAGAAUCUCUUUUGACUAGGAAAAUUGUAUGAUCCUGGAAAGCCUUCAGGGUCUUCUUGGCUUCCUCAUACAUGUUCCAGUGUUUUGAUCUAUCAGGUUCUUGCUAGCGAAGAGUCUUUGCCGCAGCCGAGCAGUCAAGCUCCAGGACAAUUUUUGUAUGCCUUAGGUUGGUUGCAAUCUUGAUACCGUCAAGUGCAGAUUUAGCCUCCGCCUCCUCUGAUUCUCGCAUAUGGACAACUUGUUAUUCCUUAGUUUUCCUUGCCUAAAUCAAUGGACUUUAUACAAGUAUUGUUGUAUGUCAUGCAAACUAGAAGUUGGAUGACUUCAUUUGGGCCAGCUCUGCAAACUCAGAUGUAUUAAUAAUAUUUACACUUGAGGUGCAUAUGCAAUACAUUGUCCUAAAUAUGUAUAGGGAUAGUAUGAUCGGACAUCCCUUCCCUUCUUUUUCCGUGACUAAAUUUGACUGAAUUUCUGUUGAUCAUUUAAGAUUAGUUCAAUCUUUCUGGGGUUUUAUUUAUUUUAAUGAAACAUACUGUUGUUCACUGCUUUACCAAACAAUGAUUGCAUGGGUUCUCUCUUUUUUAGUUCAUAUGUGCUAAACUUCAGUUCUUGUUCUGGUACAACUUUCAGACGAAAUGGUUCCACUGUUAUUUACUCUAAUACCGUUUUGUCUUUUGAUAUAGGGGAUUCCAGAGCAAGCAGAGCCCCUUUUGCAACCCAUGAACCUUUUGCAAGUGGGCAACAAACUGAUCCAGUUCAGGCUCCACAGUAAGCUGCAGUUCCCUCCAUCACGACCCGGUGCUAAUCCCUUGGACCUGUUUCCUCAGCUUGAACAAGUGGGGCUUGAAUCGCAACCUGGUUCUAGAGGUUUUCUUUGCGUGCAACAAGGACGAGCAGCUGGCUACAAACUAUCUCCUGCACCACAUGAAUGAGUUCGAUGAUCAAGCGGAAGAACCGCUGCAAUAAUUUGUUAGUUAUAGAUGACAAAGGUUACGAGUCCCACGCAAAUGCGAUGAUCAAUCCCGUUUGGAAGUUUGGAGCAGUGGUGUUUGUGAAAGCUGAAUGAAUUGCUCCAUUUUAGCACUCUGGGCUUGAGGAAUACUUUUCUGUUUCUCUCAUUGUUGUUUUCUUUUAUUUUUGAAUUUUAUGCUUAGUAGAUACUCAAGCUGACACUUUGAGACUAUAACAGGUUCUUAAAGCUAUAGUAUUUGUUUUACCUGUAGAGGUGCAUGUGCUUCUUGCCCAGUGUUAUCUCCUGCUCCUGCCUGUCGCAGUAUUAAUAUCGUGUCAUUUUUAGUUUCGAGUUGAAACACAAUGCAAUUCGAGCCUUUUGAACUGAUCCCAUCGAAGCCGGAAAAUGCUAAAGAGAUGGGACGAUGAAUGUAUAUAUGAUAAAGAGAUGCAAAGAGUUAAGCUUUCAA